AUGUUCAGACUAGCCAUGCACGUCUAGUACAAACUACAUGAUGGUGAAACUGCAAAUGGCUCAUUACAACGGUUAUGAUGUACCCGGGAGUUCCGAUGGAUAUUUCCAGUAACACUAGAACUAAUACAUGUCCCUGCGUUUAUUAGUUUCGCACAGUCCGUCGCUGAGUCAUGGUAAACAGUUGAUCGACUCGACGUCCCGGAACAGUUUCCGCCCCAUCAGCUUCGAUGGUUGGGUAUUGGCCUACCAUUGCAACAACGGGUAACGAGGAAUUAGGGUUUGAUUUCGGAGAGGGAGCCUGAGAAACGGCUACCACAUCUACGGAUGGCAGCAGGCGCGCAAAUUACCCAAUGCAGACACUGUGAGGUAGUGACGAGAAAUAAUAAAGCGGGACUUCUGUUUCGCUAUUAUAAUGAGGAAUAACCAAAGGUCAUUCCGAUUAGCAACUGAUGGGAAAGUCUGGUGCCAGCAGCCGCGGUAAUACCAGCGUCAGUAGCAUA
rnacentral:rRNA from 1 species